CCUGUUUAACAAAAACAUGUCUUUUUGAUUAUGAUUUAAAGUCUAACCUGCUCACUGAUUAUUUAAAGAGCCGCAGUAUUUUGACUGUGCGAAGGUAGCAUAAUAAUUAGUUUCUUGAUUAGAAGCUGGUAUGAAUGGUUGGACGAGGGAAUAACUGUCUCUUUUUAAUUUUUAAUUGAAUUUUACUUUUAAGUUAAAAGGCUUAAUUGAUUUUUAAAGACGAGAAGACCCUAUAGAGUUUUAUAUUUUUAUUAUUGGUUAAAUUUGGAAUUUUUAUUUCUAAUAUUAUAAAAUAUUUUGUUGGGGUGAUAGUAAAAUUUGAUUAACUUUUAUUUAUUUUGUUACAUUUAUUUAUGAAUUUUUGAUCUUAUUUGUUUGAUUAGAAGAUUAAAUUACCUUAGGGAUAACAGCGUAAUUCUUUAUUAGAGUUCUUAUUUUAUGAGGAGAUUGCGACCUCGAUGUUGGAUUAA
rnacentral:rRNA from 2 species